rnacentral:rRNA from 1 species
UACGGAGGGGGCUAGCGUUGUUCGGAAUUACUGGGCGUAAAGCGCGCGUAGGCGGAUCUGCAAGUCGGGGGUGAAAUCCCGAGGCUCAACCUCGGAACUGCCUUCGAUACUGCGGGUCUCGAGUCCGGGAGAGGUGAGUGGAAUUCCUAGUGUAGAGGUGAAAUUCGUAGAUAUUAGGAAGAACACCAGUGGCGAAGGCGGCUCACUGGCCCGGUACUGGACGCUGAGG